UACGGGGGGGGGCAAGCGUUGUUCGGAAUUACUGGGCGUAAAGGGCUCGUAGGCGGCCAACUAAGUCGGACGUGAAAUCCCUCGGCUUAACCGGGGAACUGCGUCCGAUACUGGAUGGCUUGAGUUCGGGAGAGGGAUGCGGAAUUCCAGGUGUAGCGGUGAAAUGCGUAGAUAUCUGGAGGAACACCGGUGGCGAAGGCGGCAUCCUGGACCGGUACUGACGCUGAGGCGCGAAAGCGUGGGGAGCAAACAGG
rnacentral:rRNA from 1 species